AGGCGGUUAGCUCAGUUGGUUAGAGCGCCACGUUGACAUCGUGGAGGUCGUUGGUUCGACUCCAAUACCGCCUACCA
rnacentral:tRNA from 1 species